rnacentral:lncRNA from 1 species
UCAGCUGUGCCUCAGUAUUCAUUGAAAACAAAAUUAACAUCCUCACAAAUAAAAAUUAUAUAAACGCAGUAAUGUGGCAUAGUUUUCACAUUUUCAAUCUCCUUCUCACUCUUAGAGGCAUCACCAAUGUUCAUUGGUAGAACUGGAAUUGCUCUGCUAACGCAGAACAGCUUCUUCACUUGAAUUUCAACCUGGAACAAAGUAAUCGAAAUCAUUCACAAUUCUCCAUAAACAAUUAAUCAGUAUCAAAGAGGACUAAAAACGGUAUGGAACCUAAAAAACUCCCUACACAUGCCAAAGGGCCCAAACUUAAUAUUCAAUCUAUGCGUCUAAGCAGAUAGGCUGAUAUUCAAGGAACCACGGAUCAAAUUUGGCGAUGAAGCAACAUAAAUCAUAAAAUGGAAAUACUUUCUGGGUAGCUCCUUUGAUUUCCUCGCCAGGCACCGAUACCACUCCAUGAACAUCUAUAAUGGACUCACUGCUCAAACCGGAGACAAACUUGACCAUCUGCCGGCUGACGAGGUUAGGCUGAGCAGUAACAACACACUGCACUGUCCAGAAUCUCUGUCUCACCACCACAAACUCCAUACUCUUCCCUCCCGGGCGAACAGUCUACUGCUCAAACCGGAGACAAACUUGACCAUCUGCCGGCUGACGAGGUUAGGCUGAGCAGUAACAACACACUGCACUGUCCAGAAUCUCUGUCUCACCACCACAAACGCCAUAUUCUUCCCUACCGGUCGAACAGUCUGCGCCCGACCCCUGAACACAACAUCCUUGCCCUUCGAUUCCUCAUUCAGCUCGCUCA